rnacentral:rRNA from 1 species
GACGAACGCUGGCGGCGUGCUUAACACAUGCAAGUCGAACGGUGAAGCGCCUUCCUUUUUGGUGGGUGUGGAUGAGUGGCGAACGGGUGAGUAACACGUGAGUAACCUGCCCCCUUCUUCUGGAUAACCGCAUGAAAGUGUGGCUAAUACGGGAUAUUCUGGGUCUGUCGCAUGAUGGGUCUGGGAAAGAUAUUGUUUCGGUGGGGGAGGGGCUCGCGGCCUAUCAGCUUGUUGGUGGGGUGAUGGCCUACCAAGGCGGUGACGGGUAGCCGGCCUGAGAGGGUGGCCGGCCACACGGGGACUGAGACACGGCCCAGACUCCUACGGGAGGCAGCAGUGGGGAAUAUUGCACAAUGGGCGCAAGCCUGAUGCAGCGACGCCGCGUGAGGGAUGGAGGCCUUCGGGUUGUGAACCUCUUUCGCCAGUGAAGCAGGCCUGCCUCGUUUGUGGGUGGGUUGACGGUAGCUGGAUAAGAAGCGCCGGCUAACUACGUG